rnacentral:rRNA from 1 species
UACGAAGGGUGCAAACGUUGCUCGGAAUUAUUGGGCGUAAAGCGCACGUAGGCGGCUUAGCAAGUCAGAAGUGAAAUCCCACGGCUCAACCAUGGAAGUGCUUUCGAAACUGCUGAGCUUGAGUACGAAAGAGGAUCGCGGAAUUCCCGGUGUAGAGGUGAAAUUCGUAGAUAUCGGGAGGAACACCAGUGGCGAAGGCGGCGAUCUGGGUCGAUACUGACGCUGAGGUGCGAAGGCGUGGGGAGCAAACAGG